UUGCUUCCUUUGCACAGAAGCUUGCAUCGGGCACUCUGACAAGUUCCUAGUAAGGUGCAGUGUUUACCUGGCGUCCCGGUACCUCUGUUUUCUCAUUUAAUACACUCAUAGCUACCCAACCAGUAAAAAAUAAUCAGAUGCUGCUCUUUCAGACAUCUCCUACAUAAACUGUAUUUCUUUGUUUAAGAAAUUUGAGUACAACAUUCAGACUCUAUUCUUAAAUUUCUUAAUAUGACAGUGCCACCUAUUCAAAGCUGCAAAUGCUUCCUUUUCCUUCGCCCGGCACUGCCUCACCUUCAUUGCAUACGCACUUCCCAAUGCUGGAUUCCAUUCUGUGCCACCGUGGAUGAGCCACGGUUUAGUUCACGAAUCUCUCAUUGUUGAGCAUUUUGAUUUUUUUAUGACAUUCUGAUCGUAUGCACAUUCCCGUGAUGCUUGUAGGCACACAGGAUUAUUCCGUAGCAUACAUUUUCAGAAGUGGGGUUGCCAGGCCAAGAGUGACGGUUCCACUUUGGAAACCAUGUACUUCAAUUCCUCCUCUGAAAAGUUCUCCUAACUUACCUUUUAUCCGCGACUGUGCAUUUACCCCAAGGCUUCGGCCUAUACCAAGUGACUUCCCAACCUACUAAGAAGUAGCAUAAAAGAAAAGAAAGAAAACCAAAACACAAAACACUGAUAAAGCUGGAGACUUUGAUAAAGUCUCGUGGACAAUAAUAUGAGCGAGGCACUCUGCGAGCUGGCAAGAGGACAGAUACUGCUAAGACGAGCCAUCGUGUAUGGGAACCCCACUCUAUGGUGCAGUAAGACGAGCCAUCGUGUAUGGGAACCCCACUCUAUGGUGCAGGAUGGACAUGAAAGAACAGAGGGUGUGCGGAGAAAUGCUGGCGGCCUGGGGUGGCCGGAGUGAAGCAUGUGAUGGGAGAUGAGACAGAGGACGGAGAAGAGGGGCUCUUGAAUUUCCCUCUGAGGGCCUGGGCUCUUCUGUUGUCUGUGGAUAGACACGCAGGCUUGGGGAAGGGGACUGUUAUGGGUAGAUUUGAUUUUUUUUUGGAAAGCAUUUUGGUUCUCUCUCCUCUUAGCCUCUCUCCCCUUUACCAGCUGGUGCCCCUGCUUCCUUUAGGAAGCCAGAAGACCGAGUUGAGACGAAACCUGGGGGAGCUUAAGGACAAAACAGAGGGCCAGCCAGAAGUGUUGUUGACCUCAUCAUGCAAGCUUAAUUGCAUAUUCUGUUUUUUUUUCCUGCUUUUCCCCCCCAUCCCUCCCAAAAUGGAGACUGAUUCUGGAAAAAAAUGUACUAAUUCAGAUUAAAAAAAAAACACUCCCAUUUUUCUAUUUGCAUUUUUUAUUUAUCCAUUUAAAAUAUUAAAUGAAUAACAAUAGUCUGACUUUGUUUUGGGAAAUUAAAUAUUAUGCACUGCACUCUGGGUAAAGAUGAAUCAACACGUCAGUUGAGAUAAAUCAACACGUCAGUUGAGUUCUGCAAAGGAUGUUAUAUUUGAAAAUCUAACAAGUUAAAAAAAUAAGGAUAUUCAUGGAGAAAGGGCAAAUGAAGGAAGGAAAGAAGGGAAGAGGUGAUGGGAGAAAGAAGGGAAAUAGAAAGCUUGAGCAAGGUUUUUCAAGUCCUUUUCUGAAGCAAAGCUCCUGAAGCAUUUUUUCCCCACCUUUUUGUGUAAACUGUUAGAAACAAAAUGAAAAUCACAUCCCAUAAUUAUGAUAAAUUCUGGCAUCUGUAUCUUUGUAUUGCAUCCUUUGGCAUCAUGUAGAAGGCAACUCAAGGAGCCUUAAAACUCUGACCGCCAACACGGCAUGUCACCAGAGCGGGUUCCCUCCAAAACCUGGAGCCUCACUCUUAUCUUUCAGCUCACAGGACCCUGGAGAGAAGGUUGCAGAUGUAGAAGUUUUCCAGAAAGUAAGAAGAAAAUUCUUUAUAAGCAUAAACCUUUUGAAAAAUUAUUGUUCUCUUUUAGUUUACUUUGCCAUAACAAAUUGAGACACACACACAAGAUCAGGGACCCCAUAAUCUGUUGUCAGGACAGGAUCUCCCAGUGACGUAUCCACCUCUGUCUCCUUGUCAUCAAUAGAGAAUGAAUCCCAGAGUAUUGCUGUGCAGUUGGCAACUGGUUUCCUUUGAAUAUCUCUGAUUCCAAUCCUUCCAGAACAGACUACACUGUUUCUGUUUCACAUGUGUGCGUUUCCCCCCUUGAUAACCAAAACCAAGGUCAUAUCCAUGACCCUUCUGGUACAAAUAAUUUUUUACUAAUUGGUCUUAUAAUGUCUUAAACAUUGACCAGGAGUUUUAUUGACUUUUUUUUUUUUUUGGUUUUGUUUAAAAAUGAAUAGUAAUAAAAACAGGAGUAACAGUCCUUACAUUCCAG
rnacentral:lncRNA from 1 species